AACGCGAAGAACCUUACCUACCCUUGACAUCCUAAGAAGACUGCAGAGAUGUAGUUGUGCCGAAAGGAACUUAGAGACAGGUGCUGCAUGGCUGUCGUCAGCUCGUGUUGUGAGAUGUUGGGUUAAGUCCCGUAACGAGCGCAACCCUUAUCCUUAGUUGCCAUCAUUUAGUUGGGGACUCUAAGGAGACUGCCGGUGAUGAACCGGAGGAAGGCGGGGACGACGUCAAGUCAUCAUGGCCUUUAUGGGUAGGGCUACACACGUGCUACAAUGGUCGGUACAGAGGGAGGCGAAAGCGCGAGCUGGAGCGAAUCUCACAAAGCCGAUCGUAGUCCGGAUCGGAGUCUGCAACUCGACUCCGUGAAGUCGGAAUCGCUAGUAAUCGCGAAUCAGAAUGUCGCGGUGAAUACGUUCCCGGGCCUUGUACACACCGAGACGUA
rnacentral:rRNA from 1 species